GUGAUGGUACUCUGCGAGAGUCUGCUGCUCUCCUCCUGCCGUACAUUGUCCACCAACACCUGGCUAGGCUCCACAAAGUCAGAGCUUGAUUCUGUCAUCCUCUCCAGUGUCACACUUUGGCGCUCCUCAGUGCCACACAACUUACUGUUGAUCGAGGUCGAGAUGGGACCCUUGUACCGAGCUAUGAAGCUGUAGAUCCUGAGGCGCUCGGGGGUGGAGAGACCGAACGCAUCGUCGGCCUGCUCCUUGGCCACACUGAUCCUGUGUCUGAAGUCGAUUCCUCUAGCUUGCUGCAAGCCACAACCAGCACAUGUUUAGAUAACACCGAACUUGGUAGCUGAUCUAUGGUCGACACUCAAAGGAGAAUCACAGACCGACUGAGAGGUUCACAGAUGGUUCACUGGUGGGAAUGAAGAGAAAACCUGUCACACGAUUCUGUGGUGUAGGGUUUGACCCUGAGACCUAAACUAAAUGUCUGACUAAAAAAUCAGUCCUGUUAUCAUCAGACCUUGUACAUUGUAUGGCAAUAAACUAAAUUACAAUA